GUGUCUAUUGUGUAUUGGGGCCAUAAUCCUCCAGUACACGAUAUUACCAGUAUGACCAGGUACAGAGCUUUGGAUUUUGAUACUGACUAUUAUACUGUGUAUUUAAUAGGACAGAGGAGGAUAAAGGAGGAGCUACCGGUACUAAAAUGGGACAGAUUUGUAUCUGGAACUUAUACAGGAAGAGAAUCAAUGGAGAAUUUGUGCUGCAGGUGUGAAGUCUAUCAUUGGUAAGCUUCAUUGAGAGGAAGGUUCUGCUGCUCCUGAUUUCAAGUCUCAUUUCACAGGCUCUCUCUCUGACUCAUGGCAGUCCCUAGCCACUCCUUGUUCCCUUAUUGACUCAGUUGUCAGUUAUCAUAUUCCUGGGAAUUCCCAACCAUUGCAAUCAUUGCAUGCUCAAUGGGACAUGGCCACAAAUUGCCAAAUUGAAACCUGCCAAUCAACAAAAUUCACAAAAUUACUCCCUCCAAUAUUACCAGCCUUACAUGUACAUGUACAAUGUGUUAUACCCUCUUUUUCAACCCUCCAUCUCUCAUUCUUUUUAUUAUAUGAUCUUUCUAUUCUAUUUUUUAUUUUAAUGUAUGUUAAUUCUUUAUAUUUUCUUUCCCUCUGUAUCUCUCCUUUGCCCUCUCUCUCUCUCUUUCCAUUAGUAUCCCAGUAUCAGUGCUAGUCCUUCUUCCAAUAUUACUGUUUCUUUAUUUUUGACACAAUUCAGUCGGUUGAUCUAUGGAUUGUCCAAUGGUGGUAUUAUAGUUCUAUCAGGAACUCAAGCAGCUACCAAACUCUAACUAGCCAAGAGAAAGUUCUCAAGAGCAUGGUCUCAAUAUUAUUUCUUAAGAGGUCACAAGAGGAGAGUUCCCUCCUGUUGUAUCCUGUGACUAUAGCACUGCUUAUGAUACCAAUCACUUGUUAUCUGGUGGUCCUGAUUUCUCUGUUAGAUUUUGGGACCUCUUCAAAGGAAUAUUGUUCCACACUAUUGCAGUUCAUGGUGGGGUGGUCAGUAGCAUUGUAACAUGUCCUCCUCAUAUUAAUCUCACCUAGACUCCUUGUAUCAUGCCUUCAUGCAUGGAACCUUGAAAACUCACUGGACAAGUCAGGUGAAACUGAAUAGACUUUAGUACUGCCUACCUGGGGACUGGUUAAAGAGAGUCCGUCACCUGUUCAUAAUAAUGGAGGAGUGGCUCUGGAUGAUUUAUUGAUACUAAUUAUAAUCAUCAAUUGACACUCAUAUUUGUUGCCAGAGAAUAUUCAAGA